GAUGAACGCUGGCGGCGUGCCUAAUACAUGCAAGUCGAGCGAACAGAUAAGGAGCUUGCUCCUUUGACGUUAGCGGCGGACGGGUGAGUAACACGUGGGUAACCUACCUAUAAGACUGGGAUAACUUCGGGAAACCGGAGCUAAUACCGGAUAAUAUUUCGAACCGCAUGGUUCGAUAGUGAAAGAUGGUUUUGCUAUCACUUAUAGAUGGACCCGCGCCGUAUUAGCUAGUUGGUAAGGUAACGGCUUACCAAGGCGACGAUUCGUAGCCGACCUGAGAGGGUGAUCGGCCACACGGGAACUGAGACACGGUCCAGACUCCUACGGGAGGCAGCAGUAGGGAAUCUGCCGCAAUGGGCGAAAGCCUGACGGAGCAACGCCGCGUGAGUGAUGAAGGUCUUCGGAUCGUAAAACUCUGUUAUUAGGGAAGAACAUACGUGUAAGUAACUGUGCACGUCUUGACGGUACCUAAUCAGAAAGCCACGGCUAACUACGUG
rnacentral:rRNA from 1 species